UUCUCUCUGUCUCUACCAUUAUUGAUUGAUCGUUCAGUUGUGAACUUGCUACGGCGAUUCGCUCCGUAGAUCCGUGGACUUGCUACGGCGACUUGCUCAAUCAACUUACUUUGACUUUCUAUGGCCACUGCUGAGGUAGGCAGCAUGAAAAUGGGCAUCACAACUCAGCUGUUCAUUUGUUUUCUUUUGCAGAGGAAGAUUAAGUCCUGACAUAUAAGUCUCAUGACUCUUAAAUUUGUUUUGUAUAAUUUUGAACAUAUUUUCUCUAGUAUUUUUUCUUAUUGAUGCCUACUCAAUUCAAAAAUGAAUUCUGAAUGAUUUUUUCUACUGCUGUCCUUAUUUAUUUUCAGAGUCCAUUGUUAUUCAUAAUUAAUAUGGUGUUCUAUCAUUUGAUCGAAGUCAUAUCUUUAUUCUAUUCAAAGUUUUCUAUUUUUAUUUAGUUUGCUCUUGUAUUCUAUUUACUUGGUCACAAUCAAUGAAAUGAUUACAUCACAUUUCCAUAUGUAAAAGUUGACUGGCUCACUGGUUAGCUUUCUAAAUUCUUACUUAUUCUGUUAUUUUUUUUUUAAAAUAUAUAUAUAUGUUCUGAUUAUAUCAUUGUAUUGCUUUGUUAUGGUAUUAUUGUCAAAUCUGAAUUAAAGCCUUGUUUUGUUUGUGUUCAAUAUGAUCAGGUACAGAUUUUGAUUGGCUUGGAGUUGUUUGAUUCAAAGAUUGGGAGCACUUUGUUAUCUCUCAGAUAAACUUCACUCAGUGCCACUCGUUUGCAAGUCAUGGAGCAAAGUUAUUUUUGGGCCUGAUUGUUGGCAUGACAUAGAUUUUGAAGGGUUGGAUGACUUACUAGAUAUUAAUGAUUCUCAUAAUGCUUAACUGUUUACACAAAACUUUGAAGAAUUAAGAAUCUCUGAAGUCAUUUAGUCAAUGCAUUUUCCACUAUUAUAAGGCUUACCUUUCAAUACUUUGCUAUAAAGAUAUAUUGACAUUUUUAAGGCUGAUUGAGUUAGAGUUUGA